GAUUGCAGGCUGAAAUUCGCCUGCAUGAAGCCGGAAUUGCUAGUAAUGGCAGGUCAGCAUACUGCCGCGAAUACGUUCCCGGGCCUUGUACACACCGCCCGUCACACCAUGAGAGUUGGGAAUACCCGAAGCCUGUGAGCUAACUUAUAGAGGCAGCAGUCGAAGGUAGAAUCAAUGAUUGGGGUGAAGUCGUAACAAGGUAAC
rnacentral:rRNA from 1 species